CUUCACAUGCACUUCCUCUUAAAACCCUGAAGACUCAGUAUUCGUCUUCAAUUAUUCCUCCUUACAUGAAGAAAAUGGUGACACCUUCCUCAAUCUCUCCUCCUCUUAUUUCCCUUAGGAUUUAUCACCUCCUCCUUUAUCUUUAAGCAGUUUCUUUAUUUAGGAUUCUUCUUUUUUUUCCCCUUCUCUUUUAUGCCAUAUUCAUCUUGGAUCUUUCGUUUUCUUUAUGGGGGCUGGUUUCUCUGGUUUUGCUUUGGCCAGUAAUGGAGAUCCUUCUCUACUAAGACCCAGUCUUGAUGAUGUGCCGGAGAGUUGUGUCUCUUCUAUUCUUAUGUACUUGGAUCCACCGGAGAUAUGUAAACUGGCCGGGUUGAACCGGACCUUCCAUGGCGCUUCUUUAGCCGAUUUGGUAUGGGAGACAAAGUUGCCUUCAAACUAUAAGUUUCUUGUUGAGAAAAUUUUACAAGAAAGUCCAGCGAGUUUGAGCAAGAAAGAGAUUUAUGCGAGAUUGUGUCACGCUAAUUGCUUCGAUGGUGGCACCAAGCAAGCUUGGCUGGAUAAGAGUAGCGGCAAGAUUUGUCUGUCGGUCUCGUAUAAGGCAUUAAGAAUUACUGGGAUAGAUGAUCGAAGAUAUUGGAAUCAUAUUCCAUCUGAGGAAUCCAGGUUCAAUACAAUUGCAUAUCUUCAACAAAUUUGGUGGUUUGAAGUAGUAGGAGAAAUGGAGUUUGAAUUUCCACCAGACACAUACACUCUCUCCUUCAGACUCCAAUUAGGCAAAGCUUCAAAAAGAUUUGGCCGACGAAUAUGUAAUAUCGAUCAAGUUCAUGGAUGGAACAUAAAACCCGUUCAAUUUCAGCUAUCAACGUCGAGUGGCCAGCAAGUUUCAUCAGAACGUUAUUUGCAUGAACAAGGAAAUUGGAUUUACUACGAUAUAGGUGAAUUCACAGUAGAGAAACUUCACACGCAAAUAAAGAUAAAAUUUUCGAUGAUGCAGAUCGAUUGUACGCAUCCUAAAGGUGGCGUAUGCCUGGAUUCUGUGUUCAUAUGCCCUAGUGAGUUGAGCCAGAAAUUAAACCAAAAUUAAGCAGUGAAAAAUAUAAAUAUGUUGAGGUGGUUGGUAAUAUACAGAGUAUAUGUAGAUAAGGAGAUGGCCUUUUUUUUUGGUGUUUCUCUGCAUGUACAAACAAAUAUAGUAUCAUGUAAUUUUUUUUUUUUUGGCAAAUAA
rnacentral:misc_RNA from 1 species